rnacentral:tRNA from 20 species
GCGGAUGUAGCCAAGUGGAUCAAGGCAGUGGAUUGUGAAUCCACCAUGCGCGGUCAU